ACUCAAAUGAAUUGACGGGGGCCCGCACAAGCGGUGGAGCAUGUGGUUUAAUUCGACGCAACGCGAAGAACCUUACCAAGGUUUGACAUGCUGGUUACCGAUCUGAAAAGUGAGGGACCCUUCGGGGAGCCAGCACAGGUGGUGCAUGGUUGUCGUCAGCUCGUGCCGUGAGGUGUUGGGUUAAGUCCCGCAACGAGCGCAACCCCUAUCUUUAGUUGCCAGCGCGUAAAGGCGGGCACUCUAGAGAGACCGCCGUCGACAAGGCGGAGGAAGGUGGGGAUGACGUCAAAUCAUCAUGCCCUUUAUAUCUUGGGCUACACACGUGCUACAAUGGCCGGUACAACGGGUUGCGAAAGCGCGAGCUGGAGCUAAUCCCCCAAAACCGGUCCCAGUUCGGAUUGCAGGCUGCAACCCGCCUGCAUGAAGUCGGAAUCGCUAGUAAUCGCAGGUCAGCAUACUGCGGUGAAUACGUUCCCGGGCCUUGUACACACCGCCCGU
rnacentral:rRNA from 1 species